rnacentral:lncRNA from 1 species
AUCGAUUUCCCCCAAUCUCUCCUCCUCCCAACUCGUAUGACCCAUCCACCUCACGAUUUCUCCCUCCGUUGCUUUCUAUAUAAGUUGUUUUCUAGUACACCAAGAGUCCAAGAUCGAUAACAUACCCCCAACAUAUUAACUACCAUCUUCAGGACCUUCUUUGGUGUGUUUGUCUGCCCUCACAGCCUAGGUCUGAAGGUUUCUCCCCCUCCCUUUUCAAAUUUGAUCCCUUUGUCAUGGAAACUGGAGCUGUUAUAACAAAUGUUCAACAAAAAGUAAGGAAAACUUCAUAUGUUUUUUUUUAUUAUUAAUUAUUGAUCUUAUAAUUUUCAGAGUAAUUGGAAAGAAAAUUCCAAGACACAACGAUGAUAUACAUAUUCAUGGAUCUAAUUUUAUGGAAUCAUAUACACUGACCAAACACAACCACAGUAUGUGCACAACCUUGUUUGGUCAAUCUAUCCCACCUAAAUAUCAGAUGUUCCUUGUUAAGGAGUCAAGGAGAGCUUCUUGCUUUCAUUAUUAUGUGACUUGGAUUCAAUCUGCUGCAUUAUUAUGCUCAGAAUAAAGUGGCAAACUACGAGUCUUUGGUAUAAAGUUUUCCCACCUAAUCCUCCAUAAUCAUAGAGAUAAUUUGUGAAAACCAUUUUCUCACAUUAUCAAAGAAGUGUUUUUCCCUUGAGAGUUCCCAUGCUGUUUUUUGAUGCAGUUUCCAUGCUGUUUUGAAUGAUGAGAAAUCAUCUCAUUUCAGAUCUUCAAUGCAUGUUUUUAUUUCAUACAUAAUUUUAUAUAUAAAAACACUUAAACUAUAGACAACGAAGUUAUUUUAAAAAUAUUUAAUGAUAUGUGUCCUCGUCGUAGGACAUUGAAGUAAUGUAAAAUGUAUUUGAAAUUUUAUUGUUAAUUAAAUGAAUGUAUUUAUUUUUA